rnacentral:SRP_RNA from 1 species
UGGUAGCCUCGCAACAUUGUUCUAUGAAUCCCGCCAGGACCGGAAGGUAGCAACGGUAAUAGUUAUAAUGUGUGCCGAGGAUGUGC